rnacentral:rRNA from 1 species
AUUGAACGCUGGCGGCAGGCCUAACACAUGCAAGUCGAGCGGAUGAAGGGAGCUUGCUCCUGGAUUCAGCGGCGGACGGGUGAGUAAUGCCUAGGAAUCUGCCUGGUAGUGGGGGAUAACGUCCGGAAACGGGCGCUAAUACCGCAUACGUCCUGAGGGAGAAAGUGGGGGAUCUUCGGACCUCACGCUAUCAGGUGAGCCUAGGUCGGAUUAGCUAGUUGGUGGGGUAAAGGCCUACCAAGGCGACGAUCCGUAACUGGUCUGAGAGGAUGAUCAGUCACACUGGAACUGAGACACGGUCCAGACUCCUACGAGAGGCAGCAGUGGGGAAUAUUGGACAAUGGGCGAAAGCCUGAUCCAGCCAUGCCGCGUGUGUGAAGAAGGUCUUCGGAUUGUAAAGCACUUUAAGUUGGGAGGAAGGGCAGUAAGUUAAUACCUUGCUGUUUUGACGUUACCAACAGAAUAAGCACCGGCUAACUUCGUG